UUCACCGUGUAGCCCCAGGUGUCGUUGGACUCCACGAGCGACUGGUCGCCGAAGUGAUCCCCGUCGGCCAGCACGUCGAGCACCGUCUCGUCGCCGAACUUGCCCUUGCCGAUCUUGUUCACCUUGCCGUGGGCGAUGAGGACCACCUUGUCGGCGGAGUGACCCGCCUCGACGAUCAGCUCACCGGCCUUGUACUGGCGCUGCACGAACCGCUCCGCGAGCGUGUUGAGCAGGCUGGCCUCCUCGAAGCCCCGCAGGAGCGGCAGCUCGGUCAGCUCCAUGGGGAUGACCUGGACCUUGGCCCCGGUGCUGGUGAACGACACCCGCCCGUCGCCGACGGCGUAGGUGAGCCGGCGGUUCACGCGGAACGUGCCGCCCGAGACCUGGAUCCACGGCAGCAUCUUGAGGAGCCACCGCGGGGUGAUCCCCUGCAUUUGCGGCUCGGACUUGGUGGUCGUCGCAAGAUUGCGCGCCGCCGCCGUGCUCAGGCUCAUCUGCUGCGGCAA
rnacentral:antisense_RNA from 1 species